UUUUCCACCGGAGCUUGCUCCACCGGAAAAAGAGAGUGCCGACCGGGUGAGUAACACGUGGGUAACCUGCCCAUCAGAAGGGGAUAACACUUGGAAACAGGUGCUAAUACCGUAUAACAAUCGAAACCGCAUGGUUUUGAUUUGAAAGGCGCUUUCGGGUGUCGCUGAUGGAUGGACCCGCGGUGCAUUAGCUAGUUGGUGAGGUAACGGCUCACCAAGGCGACGAUGCAUAGCCGACCUGAGAGGGUGAUCGGCCACAUUGGGACUGAGACACGGCCCAAACUCCUACGGGAGGCAGCAGUAGGGAAUCUUCGGCAAUGGACGAAAGUCUGACCGAGCAACGCCGCGUGAGUGAAGAAGGUUUUCGGAUCGUAAAACUCUGUUGUUAGAGAAGAACAAGGAUGAGAGUAACUGUUCAUCCCUUGACGGUAUCUAACCAGAAAGCCACGGCUAACUACGUGCCAGCAGCCGCGGUAAUACGUAGGUGGCAAGCGUUGUCCGGAUUUAUUGGGCGUAAAGCGAGCGCAGGCGGUUUCUUAAGUCUGAUGUGAAAGCCCCCGGCUCAACCGGGGAGGGUCAUUGGAAACUGGGAGACUUGAGUGCAGAAGAGGAGAGUGGAAUUCCAUGUGUAGCGGUGAAAUGCGUAGAUAUAUGGAGGAACACCAGUGGCGAAGGCGGCUCUCUGGUCUGUAACUGACGCUGAGGCUCGAAAGCGUGGGGAGCAAACAGGAUUAGAUACCCUGGUAGUCCACGCCGUAAACGAUGAGUGCUAAGUGUUGGAGGGUUUCCGCCCUUCAGUGCUGCAGCUAACGCAUUAAGCACUCCGCCUGGGGAGUACGACCGCAAGGUUGAAACUCAAAGGAAUUGACGGGGGCCCGCACAAGCGGUGGAGCAUGUGGUUUAAUUCGAAGCAACGCGAAGAACCUUACCAGGUCUUGACAUCCUUUGACCACUCUAGAGAUAGAGCUUCCCCUUCGGGGGCAAAGUGACAGGUGGUGCAUGGUUGUCGUCAGCUCGUGUCGUGAGAUGUUGGGUUAAGUCCCGCAACGAGCGCAACCCUUAUUGUUAGUUGCCAUCAUUUAGUUGGGCACUCUAGCAAGACUGCCGGUGACAAACCGGAGGAAGGUGGGGGAUGACGUCAAAUCAUCAUGCCCCUUAUGACCUGGGCUACACACGUGCUACAAUGGGAAGUACAACGAGUCGCAAAGUCGCGAGGCUAAGCUAAUCUCUUAAAGCUUCUCUCAGUUCGGAUUGUAGGCUGCAACUCGCCUACAUGAAGCCGGAAUCGCUAGUAAUCGCGGAUCAGCACGCCGCGGUGAAUACGUUCCCGGGCCUUGUACACACCGCCCGUCACACCACGAGAGUUUGUAACACCCGAAGUCGGUGAGGUAACCUUUUGGAGCCAGCCGCCUAGUGGAUAGAUGAUGGGUG
rnacentral:rRNA from 1 species